rnacentral:rRNA from 1 species
UACGUAGGUGGCAAGCGUUGUCCGGAUUUACUGGGCGUAAAGGGCUCGUAGGCGGCCAACUAAGUCGGAUGUGAAAUCCCCAGGCUCAACCUGGGAACGGCAUCCGAUACUGGAUGGCUUGAAUCCGGGAGAGGGAUGCAGAAUUCCAGGUGUAGCGGUGAAAUGCGUAGAUAUCUGGAGGAAUACCGGUGGCGAAGGCGGCAUCCUGGACCGGCAUUGACGCUGAGGAGCGAAAGCUAGGGGAGCAAACGGG